rnacentral:rRNA from 1 species
CCCAGGCUAAUACCGCAUACGUCCUACGGGAGAAAGGGGGCUCCGGCUCCCGCUAUUGGAUGAGCCUAUGUCGGAUUAGCUAGUUGGUGAGGUAAAGGCUCACCAAGGCAACGAUCCGUAGCUGGUCUGAGAGGAUGAUCAGCCACAUCGGGACUGAGACACGGCCCGAACUCCUACGGGAGGCAGCAGUGGGGAAUAUUGGACAAUGGGCGCAAGCCUGAUCCAGCCAUGCCGCGUAUGUGAAGAAGGCCUUCGGGUUGUAAAGCACUUUCAGCGAGGAAGAACGCCUAGUGGUUAAUACCCAUUAGGAAAGACAUCACUCGCAGAAGAAGCACCGGCUAACUCCGUGCCAGCAGCCGCGGUAAUACGGAGGGUGCGAGCGUUAAUCGGAAUUACUGGGCGUAAAGCGCGCGUAGGUGGCUUGAUAAGCCGGUUGUGAAAGCCCCGGGCUCAACCUGGGAACGGCAUCCGGAACUGUCAAGCUAGAGUGCAGGAGAGGAAGGUAGAAUUCCCGGUGUAGCGGUGAAAUGCGUAGAGAUCGGGAGGAAUACCAGUGGCGAAGGCGGCCUUCUGGACUGACACUGACACUGAGGUGCGAAAGCGUGGGUAGCAAACAGGAUUAGAUACCCUGGUAGUCCACGCCGUAAACGAUGUCGACCAGCCGUUGGGUGCCUAGCGCACUUUGUGGCGAAGUUAACGCGAUAAGUCGACCGCCUGGGGAGUACGGCCGCAAGGUUAAAACUCAAAUGAAUUGACGGGGGCCCGCACAAGCGGUGGAGCAUGUGGUUUAAUUCGAUGCAACGCGAAGAACCUUACCUACUCUUGACAUCCUGCGAACUUGUGAGAGAUCACUUGGUGCCUUCGGGAACGCAGAGACAGGUGCUGCAUGGCUGUCGUCAGCUCGUGUUGUGAAAUGUUGGGUUAAGUCCCGUAACGAGCGCAACCCUUGUCCUUAUUUGCCAGCACGUAAUGGUGGGAACUCUAAGGAGACUGCCGGUGACAAACCGGAGGAAGGUGGGGACGACGUCAAGUCAUCAUGGCCCUUACGAGUAGGGCUACACACGUGCUACAAUGGCCGGUACAAAGGGUUGCCAACUCGCGAGAGUGAGCUAAUCCCGAAAAGCCGGUCUCAGUCCGGAUCGGAGUCUGCAACUCGACUCCGUGAAGUCGGAAUCGCUAGUAAUCGUAGAUCAGAAUGCUACGGUGAAUACGUUCCCGGGCCUUGUACACACCGCCCGUCA